rnacentral:lncRNA from 1 species
UCAAUUCAUCAUCUCCAAACUUGUGAAAAUAGAAGGCUACUUGUCUAUUUAUACUAUAAGAUGCCAAUUGACUAAAAUACCCUUAAUGAAGGCUACUCCUUUGGAGUGUAAAAAGAUAGUCUUAAAAGACUAUAAUAACCUUAACUUAGGGCACCCCUUGAGUAUAUAAGUUCCCCUCUUUCCUUCUCUUGACCAAGGCUUCAAAAUACUCCAAAAUGUCUUUAAUUGCUUGCAAAUUCGGAAGCCUUGAACCUUAGACAAUACCUUGUGCCCUUGGUGCUCCUUGUGCUUGUAUCAUUUAUAGUGUUAGUUUUCUUGUCCACUAACACUUUGAGUCUAGACGUAAAAUUGAGUUUGAACAUAUUGAAAGUUGUUCUUGUGAACAUAAACUUGGCCCAUUGUUGUUGUUCUUAUUGUUAUGGAUUUGAAGUUGGCCAUGUGGAUAUUGUUGUAAUUCUUUGUGAAUGUUGUUGUUGUUCUUGAUGUUCUUCACAACCUUUAUCUCUUGUUAAAACAGAAGACACAACACUAAAGAGACUUGGCCAUUUGUUGUUGUGGAUUGGAGUUCGUUAUUGGAAUUGUUGUUGUUCUUGAAGAUUGUUGUUAUUGUUCUUAGUUUGGUUGUUUUUGUUAUUGAAUUUCUUCACCUUCCUUCAUAUAUUGUUAGAAAAUAAAGUGAAUGCUAGAUCCUAAAGAGUUAAGGAGAAAGUUG